CGUCACACUAUCAUUAACUGAAUCCAUAGGUUAAUGAGGCGAACCGGGGGAACUGAAACAUCUAAGUACCCCGAGGAAAAGAAAUCAACCGAGAUUCCCCCAGUAGCGGCGAGCGAACGGGGAGCAGCCCAGAGCCUGAAUCAGUGUGUGUGUUAGUGGAAGCGUCUGGAAAGGCGUGCGAUACAGGGUGACAGCCCCGUACACAAAAAUGCACAUGCUGUGAGCUCGAUGAGUAGGGCGGGACACGUGGUAUCCUGUCUGAAUAUGGGGGGACCAUCCUCCAAGGCUAAAUACUCCUGACUGACCGAUAGUGAACCAGUACCGUGAGGGAAAGGCGAAAAGAACCCCGGCGAGGGGAGUGAAAAAGAACCUGAAACCGUGUACGUACAAGCAGUGGGAGCCUCUUUAUGGGGUGACUGCGUACCUUUUGUAUAAUGGGUCAGCGACUUAUAUUCUGUAGCAAGGUUAACCGAAUAGGGGAGCCGAAGGGAAACCGAGUCUUAACUGGGCGUUAAGUUGCAGGGUAUAGACCCGAAACCCGGUGAUCUAGCCAUGGGCAGGUUGAAGGUUGGGUAACACUAACUGGAGGACCGAACCGACUAAUGUUGAAAAAUUAGCGGAUGACUUGUGGCUGGGGGUGAAAGGCCAAUCAAACCGGGAGAUAGCUGGUUCUCCCCGAAAGCUAUUUAGGUAGCGCCUCGUGAAUUCAUCUCCGGGGGUAGAGCACUGUUUCGGCAAGGGGGUCAUCCCGACUUACCAACCCGAUGCAAACUGCGAAUACCGGAGAAUGUUAUCACGGGAGACACACGGCGGGUGCUAACGUCCGUCGUGAAGAGGGAAACAACCCAGACCGCCAGCUAAGGUCCCAAAGUCAUGGUUAAGUGGGAAACGAUGUGGGAAGGCCCAGACAGCCAGGAUGUUGGCUUAGAAGCAGCCAUCAUUUAAAGAAAGCGUAAUAGCUCACUGGUCGAGUCGGCCUGCGCGGAAGAUGUAACGGGGCUAAACCAUGCACCGAAGCUGCGGCAGCGACACUAUGUGUUGUUGGGUAGGGGAGCGUUCUGUAAGCCGUUGAAGGUGGCCUGUGAGGGUUGCUGGAGGUAUCAGAAGUGCGAAUGCUGACAUAAGUAACGAUAAAGCGGGUGAAAAGCCCGCUCGCCGGAAGACCAAGGGUUCCUGUCCAACGUUAAUCGGGGCAGGGUGAGUCGACCCCUAAGGCGAGGCCGAAAGGCGUAGUCGAUGGGAAACAGGUUAAUAUUCCUGUACUUGGUGUUACUGCGAAGGGGGGACGGAGAAGGCUAUGUUGGCCGGGCGACGGUUGUCCCGGUUUAAGCGUGUAGGCUGAUUUUCCAGGCAAAUCCGGAGAAUCAAGGCUGAGGCGUGAUGACGAGGCACUACGGUGCUGAAGCAACAAAUGCCCUGCUUCCAGGAAAAGCCUCUAAGCAUCAGGUAACAUCAAAUCGUACCCCAAACCGACACAGGUGGUCAGGUAGAGAAUACCAAGGCGCUUGAGAGAACUCGGGUGAAGGAACUAGGCAAAAUGGUGCCGUAACUUCGGGAGAAGGCACGCUGAU
rnacentral:rRNA from 1 species